GCCUGGGUGGCUCAGUCGGUUAAGCAUCUGACUUCGGCUCAGGUCAUGAUCUCAUGGUUCAUGGGUUCGAGCCCCAUGUCGGGCC
rnacentral:tRNA from 1 species